rnacentral:piRNA from 1 species
UGUCAGUCAAACACAGAGCAGUGGCUAUGGU